rnacentral:lncRNA from 1 species
AGUUUCGCUCUUGUUGCCCAGGCUGGAAUGCAAUGGUACGGUCUCGGCUCACUGCAACCUCCGCCUCCCGGGUUCAAGAGAUCCUCCUGCCUCAGCUCCCACUGCUCCAUUCUGCUAGCAGAAACAGGGUCUCACCCCGUCGCACAGGCUGGAGUGCAGUGGCAAAGUCUCGACUCACUGCAGCCUUGACCUCCCGGGCCCAGGUAGUCCUCCCACCUCAGCCUCCCAUGUAGCAGGAACCACAGGCAGGCACCACCAUACCCAGCUAAUUUUUGUAUUUUUUGUAGAGAUGGGGUUUCGCCAUGUUGCCCAGGCUAGUCUUUUCUUUCUUCUUUUUUUUUUUCCCCACAGUAUAUAUUAUACAGCAGUCAUAAUAUCUAUAAAUACAUAGAGUUUAUGUUGUGAAGUUUCCCAGUUCACUGAAAUGUUAGGUUUCCUAAAGGGUACAGUGCCGUAUAAAACAACCUGCCUCAUAUAUUUCUCCUCAAAACGUUGGACUAUUUGGGAAAAGGAAAAGAGUUGGGAAAAUUGGUUUUAAGGUAAGUUUUAGUCAAAAGAAUUCUUUCUUGAAACUAGCUGGUUUGUGGAUUCAGAUACUCUGAUCCUUACAGAAUCCAAGAGGAAGCUUUCAUAAAAACAAUUCAGCAAAUAUUUCCAAUAUAAUUUGAAUGGCUAAUUUUCAGUUGCUAAUUAAUUAGCAGCUUUGUAAUACUUGAUUUGGGAGCAUUUACUUGGAAAUCCUAAGGACUAUAAUAAAAGUUUUCAACAUAUUUCUAAAUUGUGUGAGUUUCCAGCUGUAGCUUUUGUCUUUGUCACAUUUUAAAAAAUAAUAAGCAAGACACAUUGGGGACACUGGCAGCAGUUGCCAGGUUUUAGCUGCCACCGCUUCAGUAUGAGAUAUAGCUGUCCCAUCUUCCCCCAUUCAGGGUAGGAGAUAUAGUGACCCAGACUUCAUGCAAAUGGAAAAAAAGUUUUAACUGAAAUAUUUAUUUAGAUUUCAGGGUCUAGAUGGAUGGGAAAGUAGAAAAACAUAUGCAAAUCUCAGUGUUCUCACUAUGACCACUCUGAGCAGAGAUUUGGUUUUGUUUCCUUUUGUAACAAAGUGAAAACAGGUGAGACAAUGUGCCCAAAACAAAGGGAAGAAGAGAACCUUCUGUGACUCCUAAAAUGUUCCAUGCUGCAUUUUUGUUUCAUUUUUUAUUUUUCCUUGCUUUGUUUUUAAACAUGAAUAUAAUGCUUACUUCAAAUUGUUUAGUAAAACAAAAUAACUAAAGAAAUGUGAGCUUCCCAAGGUUUCUAAACUAUCGCUGUUGUAUAUUCUAUAGCGUUCCUUAUUCUUUGAGGGAAACUGUGCUUGCUGUGAUCCAUUUUGUCUCUAGCUUCUAGUUGUGAUUCUUGUCCAUAAGCACCAAAUUUGAUGCCCAUGAUUUCAAAAGGUCAUUUCUUUUAUCUGAAUGAAAAUGGUGGUACUAAGACUGUGAAAAUUAUGUGAAACCUAAAGUAGUUGCCAAAGUGGCUCAGGGUUGUAAAAUUCAUUGACUUAAUUAUUCAUGUGCCAGAUCAACCCCUUUAUUUUCUCUUUAGCUGUGCAUAUUUAAAAUAUUGGAAAGUAUCAGAUUUACAGAUUUUCUUUGACUAAUUUUUUUCACAUAACUUUAGGAUUUUCGAAAGUUGUAACCAUAACUGGAUAUCUUAGCUGAGCAAAGGCGGUUAUAAUUUGUCUUUUUAAGAUCACUGGAAAUUGAUAAAAUUUUGUGAUAAUUAUGAUUAUUCUGUGCCAUUUACAGUUUCUAAUACUAUACUGUAUGAAAUAUGUAUAAAUAUAUGAUGCUGAGUCUGUGGAAUGAUACUUCUGAAAUCAAAAUUCCUCAUAAGGCAUGAAGUUGUAAAAACUUGAAUGUGUAUAGUUAGAUAUUUAAAUGGUUGCUUCUUCAUAGAAUUGUCUGCUUUUUAAAACUGGAAGUACAGGAUUUUCUUCAGGUAAAAUCUGUGUGUUCCAAUUACAGUUGUAGCUGAAGGAAGUAUGCUUUGGUGAGUCAAUUAGUAUGGGAACUUGACUAAAGACCCCCAGUGUUGUAACGUACCUUUGUACCCAGACAAAACAAUUAUGUUACAUUCCUCAAAGUGGCAUGGGCUUUCUUCUCUAAUUCUUCUGUUUUAUUAGACCCAAGACAAGUUCUAAAAAUUGAAUGCAAUGAGAGAUUGUCCAGAAAUGUAAUAUAUACUAAAAUAUACCACUUAAGCAUUGAUUGCCUUUUCUUGUUUGCUUCAAGAAUAUAAAACUUGUUACUUGAGCUUGGAAUCAUGGGCUUGAUUGAAUUAAUUACUCUUGGGGAAAAAAGACACCUUGUGGCAUUAAGUCUUGCUUUGGUUAAAGCCUUAUUUCACAUAAUUGCUAAAAACUCAUUUUUGUUUAAUAUACUACCUAUAGUUUAAUUAUCGGCACUUGUAUUUUGUAACUUGAUAUCUUACCUAGGAUUGGGAAUUUGGGACAUGACAUGUACUAUAAAAGUCAGUCUAUGUACAUACUGCUUAUUGAUGUGCUGUGAUAUGAGGGAAUCUGAAAUGUUUCAUAAAAAUAAAGCUUAAAAAUUGUCUUACACUGGAUAAAAGUGAUAUUAAGAUAUUAUAUCUAUUGCUCUUCUUUAGUUGGUAUUCAAUAUUUUUAUAUUCUUGUUACUGAAAUAUUCUUUGAAGACCCUAGUUUUUUGUUUUAUUUAUGUGGGGAGGAUACUUAGGAAGCUGUUUGCUAAAUUAAGUAAGUGUUCUGCUUACCGUCAGAAUUGUGAAUAAAUCAGAUCUCAAUUUUUUAAAAUUCCCUCGAAUGGAAAAUUUCAGAGGUACAAAAUGUGAAUUUAUUAUAAAAAAGUAGAUUUUAUACCAUCUGCACAUCUCUAAAUAAAGAAAAUAAAAUGUAGGCCACAAGACCUAGGAACUAAAUGACAAGGCUUGGCCUUUUUUUUUUUUUUUGAGACAGAGUCUUCCCAUAUCGCCCAAGCUGGAGUGCAGUGGCGUGAUCUCUGCUCGCUACAAUCUCUGCCUCCUGGGUUCAAGCCAUUCUCCUGUCUCAGCCUCCUGAGUAGCUGGGAUUACAGGGGCCCGCCACCAUGCCCGGCUAAUUUUUUUAUUUUUAGUAGAGAUGGGGUUUCAACAUGUUGGCCAGGCUGGUCUCGAACUCCUGAUCUCAGGUGGAUCACCUGAGGUCGGGAGUUUGAGACCAGCCUG